rnacentral:rRNA from 1 species
AGUGAACGCUGGCGGCAGGCCUAACACAUGCAAGUCGAGCGGCAGCGGGUUCCCGCGAGGGGAUGCCGGCGAGCGGCGGACGGGUGAGGAACACAUCGGAAUCUGCCUGGUUGUGGGGGAUAACGUAGGGAAACUUACGCUAAUACCGCAUGAGACCCUGAGUCGACGGACUGGGGGUGAAAGUGAGGGACCUUCGGGCCUCACGCGACCAGAUGAGCCGACGUCGGAUUAGCAGUUGGCGGGGUAACGGCCCGCCAAGGCGACGAUCCGUAGCUGGUCUGAGAGGAUGAUCAGCCACACUGGGACUGAGACACGGCCCAGACUCCUACGGGAGGCAGCAGUGGGGAAUCUUGGACAAUGGGCGCAAGCCUGAUCCAGCCAUG